CGGAGGGUGCAAGCGUUGUUCGGAAUCACUGGGCGUAAAGCGCGUGUAGGCGGCUAUUUAAGUCUGAUGUGAAAGCCCUGGGCUUAACCCAGGAAGUGCAUUGGAUACUGGGUAGCUCGAGUACCGGAGAGGAGGGUGGAAUUCCUGGUGUAGCGGUGAAAUGCGUAGAUAUCAGGAGGAACACCGGUGGCGAAGGCGUCCCUCUGGCCGGAUACUGACGCUGAGACGCGAAAGCGUGGGGAGCAAACAGGAUUAGAUACCCUGGUAGUCCACGCCAUAAACGAUGGGUACUAGGUGUUCGGGGUAUUGACCCCCUGAGUGCCGCAGCUAACGCAUUAAGUACCCCGCCUGGGGAAUACGGCCGCAAGGUUA
rnacentral:rRNA from 1 species